rnacentral:rRNA from 1 species
GACGAACGCUGGCGUCGUGCUUAACACAUGCAAGUCGAACGGAAAGGCCCUGCUUUUGUGGGGUGCUCGAGUGGCGAACGGGUGAGUAACACGUGAGUAACCUGCCCUUGACUUUGGGAUAACUUCAGGAAACUGGGGCUAAUACCGGAUAGGAGCUCCUGCUGCAUGGUGGGGGUUGGAAAGUUUCGGCGGCUGGGGAUGGACUCGCGGCUUAUCAGCUUGUUGGUGGGGUAGUGGCUUACCAAGGCUUUGACGGGUAGCCGGCCUGAGAGGGUGACCGGCCACAUUGGGACUGAGAUACGGCCCAGACUCCUACGGGAGGCAGCAGUGGGGAAUAUUGCACAAUGGGCGGAAGCCUGAUGCAGCAACGCCGCGUGCGGGAUGACGGCCUUCGGGUUGUAAACCGCUUUCGCCUGUGACGAAGCGUGAGUGACGGUAAUGGGUAAAGAAGCACCGGCUAACUACGUGCCAGCAGCCGCGGUGAUACGUAGGGUGCGAGCGUUGUCCGGAUUUAUUGGGCGUAAAGGGCUCGUAGGUGGUUGAUCGCGUCGGAAGUGUAAUCUUGGGGCUUAACCCUGAGCGUGCUUUCGAUACGGGUUGACUUGAGGAAGGUAGGGGAGAAUGGAAUUCCUGGUGGAGCGGUGGAAUGCGCAGAUAUCAGGAGGAACACCAGUGGCGAAGGCGGUUCUCUGGGCCUUUCCUGACGCUGAGGAGCGAAAGCGUGGGGAGCGAACAGGCUUAGAUACCCUGGUAGUCCACGCUGUAAACGGUGGGUACUAGGUGUGGGGUCCAUUCCACGGGUUCCGUGCCGUAGCUAACGCUUUAAGUACCCCGCCUGGGGAGUACGGCCGCAAGGCUAAAACUCAAAGGAAUUGACGGGGCCCCGCACAAGCGGCGGAGCAUGCGGAUUAAUUCGAUGCAACGCGUAGAACCUUACCUGGGUUUGACAUGGAUCGGGAGUGCUCAGAGAUGGGUGUGCCUCUUUUGGGGUCGGUUCACAGGUGGUGCAUGGCUGUCGUCAGCUCGUGUCGUGAGAUGUUGGGUUAAGUCCCGCAACGAGCGCAACCCUUGUUCACUGUUGCCAGCACGUUAUGGUGGGGACUCAGUGGAGACCGCCGGGGUCAACUCGGAGGAAGGUGGGGAUGACGUCAAGUCAUCAUGCCCCUUAUGUCCAGGGCUUCACGCAUGCUACAAUGGCUGGUACAGAGAGUGGCGAGCCUGUGAGGGUGAGCGAAUCUCGGAAAGCCGGUCUCAGUUCGGAUUGGGGUCUGCAACUCGACCUCAUGAAGUCGGAGUCGCUAGUAAUCGCAGAUCAGCAACGCUGCGGUGAAUACGUUCCCGGGGCU